GAUGAACGCUGGCGGCGUGCCUAAUACAUGCAAGUCGAGCGAACAGAUGAGGAGCUUGCUCCUCUGACGUUAGCGGCGGACGGGUGAGUAACACGUGGAUAACCUACCUAUAAGACUGGGAUAACUUCGGGAAACCGGAGCUAAUACCGGAUAAUAUAUUGAACCGCAUGGUUCAAUAGUGAAAGACGGUUUUGCUGUCACUUAUAGAUGGAUCCGCGCCGCAUUAGCUAGUUGGUAAGGUAACGGCUUACCAAGGCAACGAUGCGUAGCCGACCUGAGAGGGUGAUCGGCCACACUGGAACUGAGACACGGUCCAGACUCCUACGGGAGGCAGCAGUAGGGAAUCUUCCGCAAUGGGCGAAAGCCUGACGGAGCAACGCCGCGUGAGUGAUGAAGGUCUUCGGAUCGUAAAACUCUGUUAUUGGGGAAGAACAAAUGUGUAAGUAACUAUGCACGUCUUGACGGUACCUAAUCAGAAAGCCACGGCUAGCUACGUG
rnacentral:rRNA from 1 species